UCGAGCCCCGCUGGAUCAAUCGCUGCGCUCUUGUCCGGCAGGUAGUGUAGACAUACUCGCAGGCUGAGAGAAGCCUGGGACAUUGGAAGCCUGACUAGAGACUGGAAUGCUCCUCUCAGUAGUUGUUGAUGUUCAAUGGCAGUGCCAUGUCAUCAAUGUACCUCACAUGCCUGCCAGACCCUCUGGCAUCUGGCUUAUUGUACAGUGAAAUAUUUCUGGAGCCAUUCGUAUUCCACAAGACAGUUUUGGGAAUCAGUAUCUGCCAAAUGGUGAGUUGAAAGUGCAGAUAUCAGAGCACUCUGUCCAAGAGGAUCUACCAAAAUCCACCAAUGCAUCUAAUUUGCUGAAGAAUUUGGUUCUUGCCAUAUCAGACAACAGUUCACUUCUUGUGGAGACUGGCGGGAGGCAACAGAUUGAAAUAUCAGCAAUCCUGAGGUGAUGUGGCUGAAACUAUACAUGUGAGAAAGCAGGAAGAGUGUAUUACACUAAAACAGCCUUAGAGAGAAGUUCUGCUCUGAAGAUAUAUUACAGCAAUAUUCCAGGAAAGUGAGCUGCCAAUAACCAAGGAGGAGGACUUGCUGAUAGGCUGUAUUACUCAAAGCGUGACACAAGUGAAGAAAGGGGCAGCUUCAGUAUAUUCUAAGAUGAAGCUCAGCAAAUGAACAGAGGAGUGGAAAGCUGCUUUGAUUGCCCUCUGCCAGGUACCAGGAGGAAAAGCUGGUGCUAAUGUCAAAUCUGUUUGUGUUUUUUUGUUUGUUUGUUUUUUGUCUAGACAAAAUAUUUACAUAAAUGGUCAGAUUCGCAUCUGGCAUAGUACAAGCUUUGAAAACUUGAAUGAUUAAAAUUAAUUCCGUUGUGUUCACUAAUGUGGAGAUACACAAUGCUAUAGUAAAACCUUCCUUCAACAAAACCACAAUUGCAUUACCUGUCAAGUCUGGUAAUCCUGUAUACAGCCAGACCUGAAGAAGAGCUCUGUGUAAACUCGAUAGCUUGUCUCUCUACUAACAGAAGACGGCCCAAUAAAGAUAUUACCUUACCUAACUUGUCUCUCUACUAUCCCAGUACCAACAUGGCUUCAACAACACUGGCUAUAACAAGAUGUGUACAGGGGGUCCCCGGUAUACAUCAGGGUUGCAUUUUUGAAAAGGGCAAUGGAUACUGAAAUGACGGAUACUGGGGAAUGUUUCCGCAUAAGAAAUAAUGGUCCACCCGCCUCUUCC